ACUCAGAUAGCUUAAUUUAAAGCAAAGUAUUGAAGAUACUAGUAUAAGAAUAGAUCUUUUUGGGUA
rnacentral:tRNA from 1 species